ensembl:misc_RNA 7SK 7SK RNA
AUGUAAGAGUUUUCUGACUGUAACAUCUGUCACCCCACUGAUUGCCAGGGUUGAUAUGGCUGACCUGUCUGGCUAGGCAAAUGCUCCCUUCUCUUUCACCAUU